UUAGAUGUUCAGUCAUCUCCACAGACAUGAAGCCAAACAUGUCUCUGGUAGCAGAAUAUUUCUGAAACAGUUUGUUUUCAAAUAACAAGCUUAAUGUAAUAAUGUUUUUAUGCAACACUAAACUUAAGGAUGUGUUUUCACUGAAACACAAUGGAAUCUAAGCUAUCAGUAAGAUACUUCAAUUUCAUUUAAGUAAUAGCCAGUUUCAUUGGCAGAAGUAUUUCUGAAUUUGCUGCUCUUUCUUAAUUUAGGUUGGUUUUGGCAUGAGACAAAUGUAUCUUCUCAAGACUGAUUAAAAGAAUUCUGGGGUUAAAAAAAAUGACAGUGUAGGAGAGCAUUAGUUGUCUUAUUUGUUUGAUAUAGUUUGCUCUUAGAAGUAUGUGUGCUCAAUCUAAUUUUUGAGAAAAUGUUACUGAUGCAAGAAACCAAGGGUCAUUUUUUCUGCUGUGGUGUUGUGCCUCCUUUCUUAUGAAAAGCCUGACUUGAAGAAAAAAAGCAACAUACACAGCAUUAAGGAAGAAUCAAAUGAUGCCCUUACAGUGCGACUAAUGAACCAACUUCCAUUUACUACUUGCUGUGAAUCUGCUUCCUUUGCCCCAGAUCUUAACUCUAUGGUCAGUUCUCUUUAAUCUUAGCACCCUCUGCUGUGGACAUCUAUAAUAACAUCUUAUUUAAUUAAUCUCUAUUUACAAGUUGUGUAUCCCUAUUCGUACUAAAGGAUCUACAAAUGUAACACAGCUUGUGCCAAUGGAGCUGCAUCUAGUCUGAAAAAUGUGUUAUAUUCCCUUUCUCAUUCCUGAAGAUAGCCUUUUCCAAGUGCUUACUAAAGAAAAAAUGUGCAGAAUACGGAUAAAGAUGUUUUAAAAUAUGCUGUGUAAGAAAGAGGCCUAAAUCAAAAUCUAGUCUUUGCAGAAGAGGACUGUAAGUAUGCAAAUGUGCUUGAGUCCAGGGAUAAUUUUGAGUUUUGCACCAGGUAAUAAAUUUUUUUUUUUUUUUAAGUUUUUAUUUGCCAUGUUUAAUUCCUCUGGAACAUGUACUGAUCAAACUACUGCUAUCUCUGGUGUCAGAUUUUCUAUGUGAAUAGCAAUAUGUGUCUUAAAGUCAAUUUUGUUAGCUCACCUUUAUCCUGAGUGUUUUUCUUGCAAGCACAGUCCAUAGCUAGUUUUUCAGGUCAAGUCCUCAUUUGUGCCGGUAGGUCAGGGCCAGCACAUGUCUCAGUACUUGAAUAAAAACAUAUAUGUUAAAAGCAUACCACUUUGAAAAUGUCUGUGAACACAUCUGUCAAUAAAGAAUAUUCUGCAGAAAUUGUUCUUUAAAGUCAAACUUUAUCAUAUCUUUCCAGUAGCCAGUUCCAUUAUUUAGUCCCUCAGAGACAGGAGAGAAUUUGCAUUUCAUUAGAGAUACAGCCUGUAAAACAAAAGAAGAAACCAUUCUCACUUGGUGAGCUAUGGUCAAUUCCUCCACGCUUGCUUACUAACAGAAAUAUCUCCUUUUUCUUCUUAGUGAAGGUACUGAGGUUCUUACCAGUGGUCCAGAUGGGAACUCCAUUUCCAAUGAUCCUUUCUUUUCUAACAAAUUUUCAUCUCACAUUUGGACUCUUUCUCCAAUGCCUGUCAGACUUGAAGUCUAAUACAAGUGGUUGCACUUCCACAGAAAGUUCAGAGACAACAUGUUCACUGUGCUUUCAGUAUUUUCCUUUAAAUGCUUAAGUAAUUGUUAUUAACCUUCUCUUCAUGUUUUCUGUUUUGUCUUUGAGACAGCAGAAUGUGUAAUAGCAAUAACCAUAUGAAUCAGUCAUUUUUCUUUUCACUCCUCCAACUCCAUCUGCUGAUCGCUCAUAUGAGAGCUCUAACAGCAAAGCUGCUUCUGAGGAUCACUGAAGAUGUGGAACAGUGAGCCGCCUUGUCAAGCAUCCAAGAGCAAAUAGCAGCAGCGAUGAGAUUUUGAAUACAUUAGUAAUAAUACUGUAUUGAUCUCAAAACACUUUACAAACAUUAACUAAUUAAGCUUCAAAACAGUGAAGUAAGUUUGCGAUGAUACAGCUGAUUUAGCAGAUGAAGAAGUGGAGGUAAAUGAAGGGCAAGCAAAGUGAUCAGAGUCGAGUGGUAAGCGAAGAUCAGAGGAAGAUGUUCUGAUUUCUAAUUGUUCUGAUGUUCAUGUGAUCUCACUGAGGAAAUUUUUGCAGGGAAACUUGCAGCCAUUUCAAAUUAAUUAUGCUGGAGCAUUUUCUAACUAAUCUGAGCACUUCUUACAAGAAACAAGAUUGUACAGAAUCUCACAAAACUUACAAAUUCUUUUAGCCUUUCAGAUCCAGCUUUGAUUGACAAGGCACUAUUUUGGAAAGCAGAGGGGACAGCUAUUGCCAUGUUCUGAGUCUUUGUGUUCCCACUGUGCUUCUCUGAUGGUACUACUUGAUUAGAAAACUGCCUUGACCUGCAAAAUGAGAAUUCACGUGGCCUUGACGCUGAUGUCAUGCAUCUAUCCCACCCUUCCAAUGGAAAAAUAAAGCCUUCUCAAGGGAUUGGUCUGGUCCAGCAGUCCUAGCCAGUCUGUGGAGUCUGAGAGGCUGCUAUAGAGUGGAAUGGUUUUAAGUCAGUAGAACAGCCCUGGCUUAAAACCAGCAUAACAAGGUGGAGCAUCAGGCACACAGUAAGUGAAUCAUGCAGAGCAGUGUUGACCCAAACAGAGCAUGACAGCUUAGAACAGGUUCCUCAGAGACAUUAAGUUAUCCUUGGAAAGACAGGUCUCAAAGCCAAGGUUUAUACUUUCUUAAUGGGUUUCAUUAGGAAGAAAGGAAAGGAACUGGAAAAAAACGUGUAGCUUAAAAGGGAACGACUUCACUGCAGUCAAAAAUUUGUUCCAUUUUUCAUUAGAAGAAGCCAGUCCUGCCUUGAAAUUCAUGUCCCUUCAAAGUUCAAGGAGGCCUAUAUUGUUGGCCUGCUCAGUCAGAACGCUCCAGCCACUUAUUGUAUGUGGAUUGCACUCCAGGGACUGCCUGAAAAAAUAUGAUUUAGUGAAAGCUUGUACCCAAAACACAUCAUUGGCCUCUGAUCUCUGAACAUUUAAAUAUUUCAAGCUUACAAGCGGACGCUGUCACGAGGACAGACCCUGAUCCCUAGCUGAUUCUAGAACAUCUGUUGAGGCAUUUACCAUGUUAAUAGAUUAGCUAUGAGAAUCAGGCAGGUGUUUUUCACCAAAGCCAGAAAACAUCAAAAUCAGAUUGCCCUCCAAGUCUUUCAGCACAGGCAAUCGAGUUAGAAUGACUCAUAGAGUCUAACAGAUAAUAAAACACACAUAACAUUUGCUUUAAGGUACAGGUGGGGAUAUUUUGUACUGUGCUUAGGAGAAAGAAAAACUAACUCUAUUUGGGAAUAGAGUAAUUGAAUACAGAUGGGAGGAGGCAAAUGAAAGAAUUUAGCAAAUAUCUCAGUGGAAUAGCUAAUGGGAACGAGACAGAAUAGGAAAUUAAAAAUUAUUCGAAGCAGAUGGACCAUUCUUUGAGUUUUUUAAAAUUUAUUAGGGCUGCGAAAAAAAUGUGUCUGUUUAUUUUCCACGGCCAUGAAAUUAAUGACUUGGUGAGUUGUGCUUGUGCAAUUUUAUGACUGCCAUGUCAUUUGUCAUAAUUUGGGUGCUGUUUGAUAUGGAUUUAUGAAUAUUUCCUCCCCCCAACAUGAUUUAUGGGUGUUGGUCAUACGUGAAUUAGACUGUCACCUUUAGUAUGAAAAAGUACAAAUGACAGAUUAUAUAUAUAUGUGUGUGUGUGUGUGUGUGUGUGUAUAUAUAUAAAGCAACAACAGUGCUCAAGUCUGUAGUGCAGGAAAGCAGAGUUCACAAUCCUCUCCUCUGUUUCUUCAUUGGAAGCUUUUGUUUAGAGUUGACAAUUAAAUGUUUGAACUUGAGUCAAGCAUAUGGGAAUAUUGAGAGGGCUUGAAUGUAUCUGAAUUCAUCUGAAUUUCACCUGUGAAACUCAGUUUGAGUCAUCCUUUCCUUGUACUGUGCAUUGAAAAAUCAGUAUAUGCACUAUUUGCCAAAGGACCGACUGAUUUACUGUAUAGGAGCAAACUGGCAUAGCAGAUUUGCUAUCUUGCUUCCAGUAGUGGCUAACUCUGAGAGAAGCUUCCAUGGAAAGUGAACAUAAUUUCACAUGACCUGUUCAGUUGUGUAGCAUUGUAUAGCUAUAGGAGUGAAGUUGAAAGACGCAUCAAACCAUCCAGAUUUCUGCAACAGUAAUAGUAUCCCAGCUUUAGAUCCAACAUACUAACUUUUAUACUGUUAUCACUUCCACCAAAACAUAAGUAUAUGCCAUUUGUUUUAUAAGAUGCAGCUAUGGGAUGAAACAGUUUAGGUUCACUACAGUUGCUCCUCGAUUCCAGCAACCUGACUGUAAGCACAUUACUGAGGCACCUGACACCAAUUGCCCAAGGCUCUGCUGCUGAUGCUGGAAAGUGAUACGCACCUCCAACAUGCAGGUGGUCAAGCCAGAACCUGAGUUAGCAAACGAGAGCCAAAUCUGCUUUGUGAUGGCAGCUAAUUCUUUGUGGUGGUGAUUUGUGGCUUCACAGAACUGAAGUUUCUCGCAAAAAUAAGCCAGGAUGGCCUAUACUUAAUUCAGGAGUGAGGGCCAGUGAUCUCAGCUGAAUCAUCAAGAAACUUUUACAGCUACUGGAGAAAAUACCACUCGUCAACUGUGGUGGAUGCUGGAGUUUUACCAUUAGGCUGAAAGUCAGCCAAACUAUGAAUCUGUCACACUGGACAUUUCUUGACCACUGAGAACAGUGUGGAAAUGCCCCAGAGCCAAGAUAGAGCAAUUUAAAGAUGUCCAACAGAACAGCAUGGUGUGUGACAGACAGUAAAGCAACUUGCAACUGAUGGCCCUUCAGAGAGUGAGGAGCAAGCACCACAAAAGCUUGUGCCUUCUCCCAGCCCCUCUAGGAACUAUUAGGAAAUGAAGCAACCACCAACAGCCUGAGCCUCAGAGGCUACUGUAGAUACCAUAAUAACCCUAAAGUUAUUAGGAGAGGUAACAGCACAGAAGAAGUCAUUGAGUGCAGGACAUGAGAUGGGUAGAAUAAGCAGGAACAAUGAAACUUAAGGCACCGUGCAGUGACUGGAAUCAAAUGUAGCAGCAGGCAAUUAAAGUCUGUUAGACUAAUGCAGCCAAGACAAGAAGGAUGUGAAGUGUGUGAUCAACACAAGUGAUCCUCUGAAAGGCCCUCAAUAAUAAAGGAAAUCAGGGAAAUUAAACAGUGUGGGCAGAACUUGUUUGCUUC